UGGGGUGUGACUCAGUGGCAGAGUGGGUGCUCUGUAUGCAUGAGACACUGGGUUCGAUCCCCAGCACUACAC
rfam:Ictidomys tridecemlineatus contig051003, whole genome shotgun sequence.